rnacentral:rRNA from 1 species
CCUACGGGGGGCAGCAGUGAGGAAUAUUGGUCAAUGGACGAGAGUCUGAACCAGCCAAGUAGCGUGAAGGAUGACUGCCCUAUGGGUUGUAAACUUCUUUUAUAUGGGAAUAAAAUGGUCCACGUGUGGGAUUUUGUAUGUACCAUAUGAAUAAGGAUCGGCUAACUCCGUGCCAGCAGCCGCGGUAAUACGGAGGAUCCGAGCGUUAUCCUGAUUUAUUGGGUUUAAAGGGAGCGUAGGUGGAUUGUUAAGUCAGUUGUGAAAGUUUGCGGCUCAACCGUAAAAUUGCAGUUGAAACUGGCAGUCUUGAGUACAGUAGAGGUGGGUGGAAUUCGUGGUGUAGCGGUGAAAUGCUUAGAUAUCACGAAGAACUCCGAUUGCGAAGGCAGUUCACUGGACUGCAACUGACACUGAGGCUCGAAAGUGUGGGUAUCAAACAGGAUUAGAUACCCGUGUAGUC